rnacentral:rRNA from 1 species
AUUGAACGCUGGCGGCAGGCCUAACACAUGCAAGUCGAGCGGAUGAAGGGAGCUUGCUCCUGGAUUCAGCGGCGGACGGGUGAGUAAUGCCUAGGAAUCUGCCUGGUCGUGGGGGAUAACGUCCGGAAACGGGCGCUAAUACCGCAUACGUCCUGAGGGAGAAAGUGGGGGAUCUUCGGACCUCACGCUAUCAGAUGAGCCUAGGUCGGAUUAGCUAGUUGGUGGGGUAAAGGCCUACCAAGGCGACGCUCCGUAACUGGUCUGAGAGGAUGAUCAGUCACACUGGAACUGAGACACGGUCCAGACUCCUACGGUAGGCAGCAGUGGAGAAUAUUAGACGAUGGACGAAAGCCUGAUCCAGCCAAGCCGCGUGUGUGAAGAAGGUCUUCGGAUUGUAAAGCACUUUAAGUUGGGGGAAAGGGCAGUAAGUUAAUACCUUGCUGUUUUGACGGUACCAGCAGAAUAAGCACCGGCUAACUUCGUG